GAUGAACGCUGGCGGCGUGCCUAAUACAUGCAAGUCGAGCGAACAGACGAGGAGCUUGCUCCUCUGACGUUAGCGGCGGACGGGUGAGUAACACGUGGAUAACCUACCUAUAAGACUGGGAUAACUUCGGGAAACCGGAGCUAAUACCGGAUAAUAUAUUGAACCGCAUGGUUCAAUAGUGAAAGACGGUUUUGCUGUCACUUAUAGAUGGAUCCGCGCGGCAUUAGCUAGUUGGUAAGGUAACGGCUUACCAAGGCAACGAUGCGUAGCCGACCUGAGAGGGUGAUCGGCCACACUGGAACUGAGACACGGUCCAGACUCCUGAGGGAGGCAGCAGUAGGGAAUCUUCCGCAAUGGGCGAAAGCCUGACGGAGCAAGGCCGCGUGAGUGAUGAAGGUCUUCGGAUCGUAAAACUCUGUUAUUAGGGAAGAACAAAUGUGUAAGUAACUAUGCACGUCUUGACGGUACCUAAUCAGAAAGCCACGGCUAACUACGUG
rnacentral:rRNA from 1 species